rnacentral:rRNA from 1 species
CCUACGGUGGUCUGCAGUAAGGGAUAUUGGUCAAUGGGGGAAACCCUGAACCAGCAACGCCGCGUGAGGGAAGACGGUUUUCGGAUUGUAAACCUCUGUCCUCUGUGAAGAUGAUGACGGUAGCAGAGGAGGAAGCUCCGGCUACGUACGUGCCAGCAGCCGCGGGAAUACGUAGGGAGCGAGCGUUGUCCGGAUGUACUGGGUGUAAAGGGUGCGUAGGCGGCUUGGCAAGUCAGUAGUGAAAUCCAUGGGCUUAAACCCUGAACUGCUAUUGAAACUGUCGAGCUUUAGUGAAGUAGAGGUAGGCGGAAUGCCCGGUGUAGCGGUGAGAUGCGUAGAGAUCGGGAGGAACACCAGUGGCGAAGGCGGCCUACUGGGCUUUAACUGACGCUGAGGCACGAAAGCGUGGGUAGCAAACAGGAUUAGAUACCCUUGUAGUC